rnacentral:rRNA from 1 species
GACGAACGCUGGCGGCGUGCCUAAUACAUGCAAGUCGAACGCUGAAGGAGGAGCUUGCUCUUCUGGAUGAGUUGCGAACGGGUGAGUAACGCGUAGGUAACCUGCCUGGUAGCGGGGGAUAACUAUUGGAAACGAUAGCUAAUACCGCAUAACAGUAGAUGUUGCAUGACAUUUGCUUAAAAGGUGCAAUUGCAUCACUACCAGAUGGACCUGCGUUGUAUUAGCUAGUUGGUGGGGUAACGGCUCACCAAGGCGACGAUACAUAGCCGACCUGAGAGGGUGAUCAGCCACACUGGGACUGAGACACGGCCCAGACUCCUACGGGAGGCAGCAGGAGGGAAUCUUCGGCAAGGGACGGAAGUCUGACCGAGCAACGCCGCGGGAGUGAAGAAGGUUGUCGGAUCGUAAAGCUCUGUUGUAAGAGAAGAACGAGUGUGAGAGUGGAAAGUUCACACUGUGACGGUAGCUUACCAGAAAGGGACGGCUAACUACGUG